rnacentral:rRNA from 1 species
CGCGGCCUAUCAGCUUGUUGGUGGGGUAACGGCCCACCAAGGCGACGACGGGUAGCUGGCGUGAGAGCGUGGCCAGCCACACUGGGACUGAGACACGGCCCAGACUCCUACGGGAGGCAGCAGUGGGGAAUCUUGGGCAAUGGGCGAAAGCCUGACCCAGCGACGCCGCGUGGGGGAUGAAGGCCCUCGGGUUGUAAACCCCUUUCAGCGGGGACGAAGCGAGAGUGACGGUACCCGCAGAAGAAGCCCCGGCUAACUACGUGCCAGCAGCCACGGUAAGACGUAGGGGGCGAGCGUUGUCCGGAUUUAUUGGGCGUAAAGCGCGCGCAGGCGGCCCGGUAAGUCGGUUGUGAAAACCCGGGGCUCAACCCCGGGCCUGCAUCCGAUACUGUCGGGCUUGAGGCAGGUAGGGGAGAGUGGAAUUCCCGGUGUAGCGGUGAAAUGCGCAGAUAUCGGGAGGAACACCGGUGGCGAAGGCGGCUCUCUGGGCCUGUCCUGACGCUCAGGCGCGAAAGCUGGGGGAGCGAACUGGAUUAGAUACCCAGGUAGUCCCAGCCGUAAACGUUGGGUGCUAGGUGUGGGGGGAUAUCUACCCCCUCCGUGCCGAAGCUAACGCAUUAAGCACCCCGCCUGGGGAGUACGG